rnacentral:lncRNA from 1 species
GGCAUUGAGGGGUAUAGACCCAAUCAAUACACUAGGGGCGUCCUGCUCCCCUUCCUUAUUCCCUUAGUCUCUGAGGGUCAGAUAGGAUUGAGGAGUGUUUCCAUCUAAAAGACUCUGCUCCAAACUGGUGACCGAUUCCAACUACAUCCCUAUGUGGUGAGCGGACGGAGGAAGGAGGAGAGGAUCGCUCAACUGCUCCAAUCCAGCUGGCAGUGCCCAUGUGACAAUGAAACACAAGCAGAGGUCUGCUGGGAAAAAUUCUG